AAACUCUUAUUUUGUGUUGUGAAAAGGAUACUUUGUGAUUUUGUGUAUUGUACUAAUACAAUUGAAAAUAUGCUGAAAUGUUUGAAAAAAGUGCACUUUUGAUGAUCUGUUGUGAUAUUAGUACUAAGAGUUUUGAAAAUGUACCAAUUGCUUGUGAAAAUUGCACCAAAGCAAUUAAAAAAACUGUAAAUUAGAUUUAAGAAUAAUAAGAAAACUAACGGAUACAAUAAGGGCUAGGCCCCUAAUAAUAAAAUAAGAAAUAUAUAUUCAAUAUAUAUUCAUUCAUAUUUGUUUGCUUUCUUUCUAGAAAUAUGUAGGUCCAGAACUAUCCAACACAGUCAUCCCCCCUAAUCUCAUUUGUCCUCUGUCAAAAAAGUUGUUUGUCGAUCCAGUGAAAACCAAUGCAGGUAUGGUGUAUGAACACCGUGCUAUUGAGGAUUAUCUCAAGAGGCAUGGAACUAAGGAUCCACUGACAAAUAAGCUGUUACGAAGAACAGACUUAAAGCGAGACAUGAAUAUGAGAAAGGCUGCCAGGGAAUAUCGCAUGUCACAGAUUCAAGAAACAUCCGUUUAAGAUGGUUCCAUUUGCUUUCAGGUGUACCAAAUUAUGAUAAAUUUGCAAAUUAUGCAAGCAAUAUAUGUUGUUUUUUUUCCGUAAUGGGACCUUUGAUCCCAGGCUUUCUCAAUGUAAGGCUUACAUUAUGUUUACUUUAGACUGUCAGAGUUAAACCAUGAGAGACAUAUUUUAACGAUGUCUGUAAUUCAAAAUGUUGAUUUCAGUUUGAAGUUGGUUUUAGAUGAUUAAACUUGUUGAUAUGAAUACACAAGGGGCCAGAUUUACUAACAGCUUGCGUCAGCGCAAACCCUCUUUUGGGGUUAAAAAACUACUAUCAGGAUUUACUAAAGACAUGCAGUAAAAAAAAAAAAAAAAAAAGCGCUGAAAAGGCGUGGACAGUUAUUUUUGCGGCUGACCUAAUUGCAUAUGCAUUUGUAGGAGUUUCCCUUUCAGACACAAAAUUUAUGGGAGGAGAUUAAUUAAAUUAAUCAUGAGACGUGGUUUACUAAGGUUUGCGCUCGUCAAUUUACUGGUGUUACUGCCAUUAUUUACCACCCAAAAAAGCACUUCUUAAACCAGACGCUAACUGGUAGAUUGCAUUGGUCGUAAUGAAAACGAUCCAGCUGCGUCUGCAAUCUUUAAUGUGCACGUCGUCAGUAGAUCAUGCGCAGAGAUUUCCACUCCCAUCUGUGCUUUUUUGGAAUUGCGCUUUCACGCUAAUUUGCCCAGUUUAGUAAAUCUGGCCCAAGUAAUGUUAAAACUAUCUGUACUUUUUUGUCUCUUCUUAUAUGUGUAACAUUUAGUGAACAUCAGCAUCAUCAACUGCAAACGUAAAAGUGCAAGUGUCAAGCAGUGAUUGGACAGACCUAAUAAUUAUGUAUGAAUAACGUGGCAUUAAGAGUCUUCCAAGACAAAAGUUCAAAUUUCUAUAACCAAUAGGUUGUAUAUAGCUAUAUUUUAACAAACUAAAAUUAUAAUAAUGCCUUGUUUCCAAACUUUGAGAAAAUACUGAUAGAUUAUAGAUUUAAGCUUGUGACCUGUUCUAUUUUGUUAACAUUUUGUGUGUCUAAUAAAAGUACACUUGAACAUA